CCUGUUUAGCAAAAACAUGUUUGUUUGGAGCUAUAAGGAAUCUGACCUGCCCCCUGACAAAUAGGUUUAAGGGCCGCAGUAUUAUAACUGUGCAAAGGUAGCAUAAUCACUAGGUUUUUAAUUGAAAUCUUGUAUGAAUGGUUGGACAAAAGAAAAACUCUCUUUAUGUUAAAUUCUGAAUUUAACUUUUAAGUGAAAAGGCUUAGAUAUUCUAGAGGGACGAUAAGACCCUAUAAAACUUUACAUUGAAAUUUAAUUUUAGUUAAAUUUAUAGAUAAAGAUCUAAUUAGGUUAUUUUGUUAUGUUGGGGAGACAUGGGUAAAUAUUAUUUUAACUGCUUAAUGAGUAGGACAAAUAUUGGUGUUUAAGGUAAAAGAUCCUUUUUAAAGAUUUAUAGAUUAAGUUACUUUAGGGAUAACAGCGUAAUUUCUUUUGAGAGUCCAUAUCGAAAAAGAAGAUUGCGACCUCGAUGUUGAAUUAAAAUAUCUGUAUAGUGUAGAGACUAUAUGAGAAGGUCUGUUCGACCUUGAGAGUUUUACAUGAUUUGAGUUCAAACCGGUGUGAGCCAGGUU
rnacentral:rRNA from 1 species